rnacentral:lncRNA from 1 species
UAAUGUGGGGUCUAGCUUUGUUAAUUACCAUCUUAACCACGCAACCUGGUACGUCCUCUCCUACUUCUACCACGUGAACCGCGUGGUCUUUUUCUUCUCCAUGAUAAUUAUUAUUAUUAAUAAAAACUCUAUUUUCCUUUUUUUAAAAAAAAAAAAGAAAAAACCACCGCUUUUGUUGUAUAUUUCAAUUAUUUACUCUUUCCUAUUUCCUUCUUUUUAACAAACUUUAUUAUUGGUUGAUUCAUAAGUUUCCCAUUUUUUUUAAUUUUGUCUAUUUAAUUAAUCCUUUUUGUUUAAGAAAUUAUAAUAAUAAAUUUAUUCUAAUUUAAUAUUUUCCUCCACGUCAUCCUAAUUCGUAUAUAAUUUAUAAUUUGUUUAAAACACCACAUUUUAUAUAGAAUUAAUAACUUUUAUCUUUUUAAAUAAAUAAUACGAAUUUAUUAAAGUUAAAAUAUGAUUAGAUGAACACACUUUUAAAUAGUUAUUUUACCGUUGUUACUACUUUUUAACAACAAUCAAUUACAUCUACAAAAUUUGAAUAAUAAUUAGUAUAAACAUUAGUUGAAUUGAGUUUUAACUUCUUUUUAAUUAUUAAAAUGAUAAAAAUGUGUUAAUUGAAACAAAUAAAUCAUCGCUCCAAAGAUAAAAUAAAAUGAAAAAAUAGUCCAAAAAUGAAUAAAAUUAAAAUGAAAAAUCAAAUUUUAUAUAGUAUAUAACGUUACUUAAUAUUAAAAUAAAAAAUUUAAAAUAAGUGCUUCUUACUAAAUAUAUAUAUAUAUAUUUUUUUUAAUAAUAAGAAAAGAGAAGGUGCAUAAUGUAAUUAAGGAGAGGGGCCCGGGGAUUUGUUUUUAUCCGUUGGGUACCACGUGAAGGGGCAGUUGGUUUUAUUUUGGCGCUCACGCUUUAACCCUCUUAAACCAACCGCACCCCAAUAAAAUCCUUAAAACUACCCCUUCCCUCCAAUCACCAUCCGAAACCUGUCCUCCUCUUUAUCUCUAUUUCUCUUCUUUUCCUCCUCUCUUUUUUAUUUUUAUUUUUUAAACAAAAUUAAUAAAUUUAAGAUUUAUUUAAAAAGUAUAGACUAAAAUCAAAUAGGUAAAUAUAUACGCUUUAUAAAGUUAUCUCAUGCCUAUAAUGUGAAUUACUUGACAUAAAAGUUAGUUGGCGUUUUCAUUUUAUUUAACAUAUUCAAAGAAAUAUGACUAAUCCCAUCCUUUCUUUUUUUACAUAUAGUUUAACAUGUCUCUCACACAUGCAUGUCUUUUUGCAUUGGAUGUUCAAUUAUUAUAGUCCUGGAAGCUUUCCAUAAUUGGAAGAAAAGUAUUAUAAAGAUGGAUAGAAAUAAGUUAGAUUGGCGUUGAAUAAAUUAGCAAGAUAUUGUAUAAAAGAUGAGGAUCUCACGUACAUUUGGAUACUUAUUUAUUUGUUUGUUACAGUUGUUUUGUUCUGAGGUGGAUAGUUGAACCUUUCUUCUUUAUCAUUGAGUUAAUUAGCUUAUUGUUUAUCGUAAGAAAUCGUUUAGAUUUUUGUAAUUUUGAAAAUGAACAGAUUCACUCAAAAAAUAAAACAUAUUUUAGAAUAGGUCAAUAACAUUUUAGAAAAAUGAUUUAUAGGAAAGGAAAAAAGAGAAGUGAUUUUAGAAAAAGGAAAGAAAUUGAAUGCAGGUCACGUGGUGGACUCACGCAAGCUGCAGCUCCUCGAAGCGUGUUGAAAAUCACGUGUUAAUCACGAGCAACACCGUGUUAAUGAUGGUGAAUAAUAAUUAGUUUUCAAUUAUUAUUUCUUCUUUCCUAAAUCAAUGCGUGUGUGUGGGUGCAGAGAAAUGGUAUGCUAUCCGUUUGUUCGAAAAAAAAGAAAAGCCUACGGACUCCUCCACUCUGAUUAAGCCACGUCAUUCAGGUCCCACUAUACUCGAGACACGUGGACGGCAUGCACUGUGUAAAACGUGUUCGUUUAGUUUCUGUGACUAAGCCGCCUUCAUCGCGUGAACUUCCUUAGCUGGCCCGCGUGAUCAGUCUAAAUCCUCCUUUUCUUCUCUUCUUCUUUUCUUUUGCUCUUAGUCGGUCACUCGCGAUAUAGGUGCGUCAACUUUACCUUCACGCGCUUUGCUUUGUAGCCACGACGCUGUGACCUAAACCUUCUUUUCACUUCCCCCUUCGCCUUUAUAAACCACUUUGGUCCACCACUAGCGACAUGUUUUAAACCCCCACAUUGCAAAAUAUACCUUCCUUCUUUCUUUCUUUAUUUUUUCUCUAAAUUCAAAUUUAAUCUUCUUUUCUACUCUCAACCACCCAUUAUUAACCACUCCAUUACUUGAGCUAUGUUUUCGUUGACAACAAUACAUUAAUCUAAAGUUUACCUAAAACCUGUAGAGAAGAGAGAAAUGAUCAUGUUUAUUCGUUUGUGGUCUUUGUAAAAUGUGUCUUUUUUAUGCAUUUGUACAAAAUGUUCGUGUAUCCAAUCUAAAUUUAUAUUUAUAUGUGUUAUUUUUUUAAUACAAAAUAGAGAUGGAUAAAAAACAGUCAAAUAAAUUAAAAUAUUCACAAAGUAGAUUAAAACUUUUAAACUCUAUCACUAAUAACAAAUGAUAAACUUUUAUCAUUAACUAUAAUGUCACUGAUAGAAUAAUAUAACUGACUAUCAAAUAUUUGUUAUUGAUAUAAUCUGAAAUUUUAGUAUACUUAUAAAUAUUUUGUCAAAUUUGCUAUUUUUGUCAUUUUAUUUGUAAUAUAUUAAUAUAUAGUAACAUUUUCUUUAAAGUUGUAAAUAUAAUAAAUAUGUUUGAGUAUAACGAUGAUAUGAAUGUAUCAUUAAUAGACUUUGCUACGUUUGUAAUUUUUAAAAAACAUUGUUAUACAUUUGUUUAUUCUCUAACAUCACAAUCGAUUAUAAUUUUUCUAUUAAAAUAUGCAAAUUUAUAUCUAUGUGUGUGUUUUUUUUAGUUCAAUUUAGUGAAUUGCAAGAGUGAGCAUGAUAAAACUGAAAAAUAAGUCAAUCGGUCAAAGCUAAUUAAAUCAAAUACAUAUGAUUAAUGAUAAUGAAAGAUUUUGAUCGCAUUGAUUUGAAAAGUAAUCAAAAUCAACGAUGUUAGUAAAAUAAUCAUCCAUCAUCAUAGUUGAUUUAAACUUUUCUAAAUCGACCCUGCCGUUUAAAAGUCAAACUAAGUGAUGCUCACACAUGGUAAUAUCAUUAACUUGUUAGAGUUAAAACAAUAUAGGAACAAUGUUAUUAACUUUUCUCCUUUUUUCUUUUUUUUUUUUUUGUUUGUAUGGGUGAAAAAUCUAGAGGAAAGAUAAAGUUGAUUUAAUAUUGAUUAAACCAAUUUCCAAUACUAAUUUAAUUUCUUAAUGACAACUGCUAAGUUUGAUGGGAAUAAUAAUAAAUUAAUAGAAAAUACAUGUGCA